CGCGUAGGCGGUUAUUUAAGUCAGAGGUGAAAACUACCGGCUCAACCGGUAGCCUGCCUUUGAAACUGGAUAACUUGAGGGCAGGAGAGGGGAGUGGAAUUCCCAGUGUAGCGGUGAAAUGCGUAGAUAUUGGGAGGAACACCAGUGGCGAAGGCGGCUCUCUGGCCUGUUUCUGACGCUGAGGCGCGAAAGCGUGGGGAGCGAACGG
rnacentral:rRNA from 1 species